UCUAUCUAUACAUGUUUUUGCUCCUAACACCCUCGUUCUCUCUCUCUCUCUCUCUCUCUCUCUCUGCAUGCGACCUCUCGAGCUCUCUUCGUUCUAGUUUGUUUUGAGGUAUGUCCUUCGAGCAUUGCCUUGAUCGAUCGCGCGACUUUGCAUGGCCUCACAAUGUAUGUCAUUCACUUUCUCUCCCAAUCGAUCAAUUUUUCUCUGUCUCUCGAUGAUCAUUUUUUCCCAAAAGCUUCGAAUUCAUCAUUUUAUUUGAAGUUAGGGUUCAGUGAGAGCCAUGGAAAUGCAGACUACGAAGCCAAAUGCAUUCUCAAUCAAUUGAUCUCAAACCCUAACUGAUCUCUACACACUUCUCUGUAUCGAAUGAUUCGACGUCUUUGCAAUCUCCUCUCUGAUCGCGAACUUGAACCUGUUGAAGCAAUUCAUCGAUGAUUGCAAGUCCAAUCCCUCAAUCCUCUCCGAUCUUUUUCCCUCAUUCUUCCGAGACUACCUUGAAAGAUGGGAGACUCUUCUAUCGAGGUCAUGGAAGAAAGCUGUGAUGCUUCGCAGGAGGCUAAGGUGCAAGAGAAACUGGAGGAAGUAAUAGAGUAGCUCAAACAGGCUAUUUCGCUCAAUUCAAACCUCAGCAAUUAUGUAUUUAGGUUCUCUUAUCACGAUCGCUUCAGCCAAAGUCUUCUUGGAAGAACGUUAUCACGAUGGCUCGAAAGGGAGAUUCUGUUCAAUUGAAAGUGAAAUAAAAUUGGGAAAGAUUGGUCAAAUUGAGUAAAACAAAGAAAAUUGGGAUGUGAUUGGGAGAAACUGGUUUCAGAUGCCGCUGAUCUGUUAAUCUUUGAUUCGUUCAUCAUUAGGAGACUUCUGAUGGGCAGGUUGGCAAAACACUAAAUUUGAGACAACUUCUUGUGCCUCAACUGUUCUAGAGCUCCCACAAGAUGACAAUGGUAGUUUGCAGAAAACACAUGCUGUGGGUUCUUGCAAAGAGCGGGACAUGGAAUCACAUGUAUCCUUAUCAGGAGAAGCUGCAAAGCUGAAGGAAACAAAUCAAGCUCCAAGAAGUUUUUCUAGCACUCUUCUAAAUGCCUCAAAUCCUGAAGUGAAUGAUGACGAGGAUAAGUGCAUUCAUUCUGGCUGCAAAGUUGUUGAGUUUGUCCUGGCUUUGUAGGAAACUGGGUGCUUUUCUGUUGUUAUGAAAUGUGUGCUCCUAUUACUGCUGCUAUUGUUACAACAUCUGCUCUUCGAAUCCCUACCAUUGGUAUUGGGGCAGGGACUUUCUGUAGUGGCCAAGUUAAUGGAUUCUUUAGCUCUCUCUACUAUUCCUAAUAAUGAAUUAAACUUGACUGGCUUGUAUUGUGUGUAAUCUUUUUGUUUUCAUUUGUACACAUAAUUUAUUUGAUCUUGUAAUUUGCUUUUCAAGUACUAAAA